ensembl:lncRNA
AGCUAAUGAGGUGUUAAUUGGGCCUUGCCCACAGUUUCGUUUGUUUGGAGGGACACUGCCCAAGAUGGCUGCCCUGUGGAGAGAGAGGGAGAUGAAGCAUGAAAAAAUAAAGUAGCAGCUGUAAAAAAUAAAGUAGCAUGGAAGUUUGAACAUUUUUUUUUAUUUUCAUAUUGGACUGGCCAUUUCGGAUUUAUGUUUGGACCUUUCCCUAAAUGGAGUACUCUACGUUUCCAGAUGAAUUAUCAGACUAUCGUGUUUAAUGGACUGAAGUUUCAUCCUGGACAUUGGCUCGGGCCUGCUGCUCAAGGUUGUCCGGAGCACCUGCCUGACAGAAAUACAAUGCUGGGCGACUUAUGAUAAAGUUUGUUUCUCGGUGGGAAGGCGACCUGGUCUGGCUGGAAGGCGUGUUAGGGGCACUUGACAGGAGAUGUUCUAGGAUUCGAAGGCCGGAAAAAAUUGCAGACGAGGACACUGUUCAAUGACAGCGGGACACAGCGGAAACACAUCAAAGCAAACGGAUGGAGGCGGUCAUUGCGACGUGAAUUUGCGCGUGAAGUCAAAAGCCCUAAAGACGCACGUAUGAAGAUGGAGACGGCCCCACCCUCUACCCCACCCCUGCACUGACACACAGCUCAUCAGAACACAGAGUUCAGAGACACUGACAUUCACAGCGUGACGAGAACCAGCGAAAGUGCCGCGCAUUUUCGUUCAAAUUGCAAGAAAUCCAAGCUUCAAUGUGGAAUCGACAACCAUGGUGUGUCUCUGAUUUGGGAGGAUGGAGGCGCCAACAGAGGCUAUUUUACUGCUGUUCUUGCAAGAGGCCUGUAAAAAGUGCAGGGUUUUGUCAUUUGUCUGCACUACUACAACACACAACUUUUACGAGCUGGGAAAGACAGGCGCCGGCCUGUGUAUCGCCUCUGGAGGAGAGGGAGAGACGACAAGCCAACACCAGGACAAGACGUUCUGAUUGGUGACUGAAGACAGAGGGUCUGAGUGGUGACUGAAGACAGAGGGUCAGUGCGGCCAGCUGCCAGACUAGAAGCUCCACAGCACUUGGAUCAGGACGACGGUCUACGGUCCAACAUGCUGCCACGAGGGGGGUGAUUCCAAUGGGGAAGCGGUGUGGCCCACCACGCCAGACGGUACCAUCAAGGCUACUCCUGAUGGCGGGGACACAGUGGGAGGAACAUGGGGGGGGGGGGGGGGGUACCUCCUCACAGCCGGCGAGGAGAACCCACGCCAUCUCUGUGGUGACGCGUCCUCCACGUUGUGCGAGAAACGGCCUGAAGAGGGCUCGGACAUGGGCAGUUGGAGAAAGGGUGGAGGAGGAGUUUUUCCCCGAGACGAGGCUGUCUUGACGCCACUCAUUUUUGUCGGAGGUGUCGGCGAUGACCUGGACCCAUCUGGCCGAUCAGAUGCUCGAGUUCGACCGUGCUGAAGUCCAGCGUUGAGGAACCCGCGAUGCUUCGGUUCACUCCCUGCUGCGUCAGCCCCACCCAGGAUUCAACGUUCCCGAAGCUCCGUCACACCAACAGGGAGCGGGAUUGUCGAACUCUUUUGAGAUUGCCGAUUACUUUGUUUGAAUAUUUUGCCCUUUGUAUUCUGUUUUAAUUGUUUGACUUUUUAUGCAGUUUCAGUUGUAUAAAUUGAAUUUGUAAAAGUCUGUAUGAUCAAUAAAAAGAAUUGCCAAAGAAAUAUGAGCCUUGUGUGAGUCCCUGUCUGGCCCUUUAUUUGUUUUUAUAGUUUUCAUUUUAAAGUGCAGUUCAAUAACGACAAAGUUGACAAAUCGAUAGCGCUAAUAAGGACGACUGCAAAAUCAACCCAGCUGUCAGCUGGAACACAAACACCUAAACACACACAAUACGCACACCGGGCUGCUGCCUUGCUGAAGAG